CCUACGGGAGGCAGCAGUGGGGAAUAUUGCACAAUGGGGGAAACCCUGAUGCAGCGACGCCGCGUGAGUGAAGAAGUAAUUCGUUAUGUAAAGCUAUAUUAGCAGGGAAGAAAAUGACGGUACCUGAGUAAGAAGCUCCGGCUAACUACGUGCCAGCAGCCGCGGUAAUACGUAAGGGGCAAGCGUUAUCCGGAUUUACUGGGUGUAAAGGGAGCGUAGACGGAAGUGCAAGGGUGGAGUGAAAGGCGGGGGCUCAACCCCCGGACUGCGCUGGAAACUGUACGGCUGGAGGGCAGGGAAGGUAUGUGGAAUUCGUGGUGUAGCGGUGAAAUGCGUAGAUAUUAGGAAGAACUCCAGUGGCGAAGGCAGCUUACUGGACUGUAACUGACGUUGAAGCUCGAAGGCGUGGGGAGCGAACAGGAUUAGAUACCCCUGUAGUC
rnacentral:rRNA from 1 species